GCCGGGUGUGGUGGUUCAUGCCUGUAAUCCCAGCACUUUAGGAGGCUGAGGUGGGUGGAUCACCUGAGGUCAGGAGUUCAAGACCAGCCUGGCCAACAUGGUGAAACCCCAUCUCUA
ensembl:misc_RNA Metazoa_SRP Metazoan signal recognition particle RNA